CGCUUUUUGUAGUUAUAAAAAGUCGUACCUGCCCAGUGAAGUAAUAUAAACGGCCGCAGUAUCCUGACUGUGCUAAGGUAGCAUAAUAAUUUGCCUCUUAAUUGGUGGCUAGAAUGAAUGGUUUGACGAAGGCAUAGCUGUCUCUGAUAUAUUAUGUAUAAUUUAUCUUUUAGGUUAAAAUUCCUAAAUUUAAUUAAGGGACGAGAAGACCCUAUUGAAUUUUAAAAGAAUGUGUAAAUAAAAUUUAUUAUUAAAAUUAAUUUAUUUACAUAGUGAUUUUGGUUGGGGCAACCAAGGAAUAAUAAAAGCUUCCUAUAUAUAAAUAUAAAAACUUUUUUUGAUCCAAUGUAAUAUAUUGACAAUAGGAAUUAAUUACCAUAGGGAUAACAGCGUAAUUUUUCUUGAGAGAUCUAAUCGAAAGAGAAGUUUGCGACCUCGAUGUUGGAUUAGGAUAUUCAAAAGGUUGUAGAAGCUUUUAUGAUUAGUCUGUUCGACUAUUUAAAUCCU
rnacentral:rRNA from 1 species